rnacentral:rRNA from 1 species
UAGGGAAUCUUCGGCAAUGGACGAAAGUCUGACCGAGCAACGCCGCGUGAGUGAAGAAGGUUUUCGGAUCGUAAAACUCUGUUGUUAGAGAAGAACAAGGACGUUAGUAACUGAACGUCCCCUGACGGUAUCUAACCAGAAAGCCACGGCUAACUACGUGCCAGCAGCCGCGGUAAUACGUAGGUGGCAAGCGUUGUCCGGAUUUAUUGGGCGUAAAGCGAGCGCGGGCGGUUUCUUAAGUCUGAUGUGAAAGCCCCCGGCUCAACCGGGGAGGGUCAUUGGAACCUGGGAGACUUGAGUGCAGAAGAGGAGAGUGGAUUUCCAUGUGUAGCGGUGAAAUGCGUAUAUAUAGGGAGGAACACCAGUGGCGAAGGCGGCUCUCUGGUCUGUAACUGACGCUGAGGCUCGAAAGCGUGGGGAGCAAACAGG